rnacentral:tRNA from 1 species
UCCCUUGUAGCUCAGUCGGUAAAGAAUCUGCCUGCAGUGCAGAAGACCCGGGUUCGAUCCCUGAGUUGGGAA